rnacentral:lncRNA from 1 species
CUGUGGGACUUCUGGCUCUGCAUCAUCCCAAGUGUCCUCACAUUCCAGACCCGGGCUGAGCAGCAGCUGUUACUGAGAGCUGUUGUUCUCCUGGUACAAGGCAGCAACCUGCCAAGGGAACCAGAGCCAAGCCACCCCUUCAAAGUGUCUGCAUGGCUGUGUCAUGCCUGAGCUCUCACCACCGUCUGGAGCAUACAAUGAGGCAAGCCAGAGUCGAUAAGCAUAUUGGAGCUAUGACCACAGAGGUGAUUAAAGAAUCAUAGCCCUCCUGAAGUGAUAUCCAAACAGAGAAUUUUCCAAUACAUAUCUUGAAAUCACAGAGCAUGCAAUGCCACACGAGCUCCAGGAAGGCAGCAUCUCUGCUUAGGAUAUGGAAAUUUGGAAGCUCGUCGCUAUAAUCUGUGGUUAUGAUUUCAAGCUCCCCCAGUGAUGUCGGGAAGCAAACCACAGACUCCCACUGCUA